GAUGAACGCUGGUGGCGUGCUUAACACAUGCAAGUCGAACGAAGCACUUAAGAUUGAUUCUUCGGAUGACGUCUUUUGUGACUUAGUGGCGGACGGGUGAGUAACGCGUGGGUAACCUGCCUCACACAGGGGGAUAACAGUUAGAAAUGACUGCUAAUACCGCAUAACCCGAUAGGAUCGCAUGAUCCAGACGGAAAAGAUUUAUCGGUGUGAGAUGGACCCGCGUCUGAUUAGCUAGUUGGUGAGGUAACGGCCCACCAAGGCGACGAUCAGUAGCCGGCCUGAGAGGGUGAACGGCCACAUUGGGACUGAGACACGGCCCAAACUCCUACGGGAGGCAGCAGUGGGGAAUAUUGCACAAUGGGGGAAACCCUGAUGCAGCGACGCCGCGUGAGUGAAGAAGUAUUUCGGUAUGUAAAGCUCUAUCAGCAGGGAAGAAAAUGACGGUACCUGACUAAGAAGCCCCGGCUAACUACGUG
rnacentral:rRNA from 1 species